rnacentral:misc_RNA from 1 species
UGGGUUUGACAUCCUGGUGAAAGCCUCAUGAAAGUGGGGCCCUCCUUCGGGACACCAGGACAGGUGCUGCAUGGCUGUCGUCAGCUCGUGUCGUGAGAUGUUGGGUUAAGUCCCGCAACGAGCGCAACCCUUGCCCCGUGUUACUACCAGGUCAAGCUGAGGACUCUCGGGGGACUGCCGGCGUCAAGCCGGAGGAAGGUGGGGAUGACGUAUCCUCAUGCGUU